CAGCUAAAAUGUGUAAAGUAUUUUACUGACAUUAGGGAUUACAGUAUAUGGCAAUUUUUACCCUAGCCAAGUAGUUGUGGGAUUUUAUUACUUUCAACAUGUCUAGGUUCAAGUAUAUUUUGUCACAAUGAUACUAUUUCUGCAAGAUUCUUUGCAGGUCUGUACUUCUUCGAAUUAUUAUUCUUUAUAUUAAACUUCACUUUAGUUUAUCGUUUACUUAUUUUAGCAAUUCUUAGUCUACUCAAAUGUAUGAAUUUUUUAUCUGUGUUGAUGUUCCUAUUGUAUUUUUAUCAGUUCAGAUAAGCACAUAGCCACA
rnacentral:lncRNA from 1 species